UACGUAGGGUGCGAGCGUUAAUCGGAAUUACUGGGCGUAAAGCGUGCGCAGGCGGUUCGUUGUGUCGGUGGUGAAAGCCCCGGGCUUAACCUGGGAAUGGCCAUGGAAACUGGCGAACUGGAGUGUGGCAGAGGGGGGUGGAAUUCCGCGUGUAGCAGUGAAAUGCGUAGAUAUCGAGAGGAACACCUGCGGCGAAGGCGGGUUGCUGGGCUGAUACUGACGCUGAUGCGCGAAAGCCAGGGGAGCGAACGGG
rnacentral:rRNA from 1 species